AUACGGAGGGGGCGAGCGUUGUUCGGAUUUACUGGGCGUAAAGGGUCCGUAGGCGGUUGCGUAAGUCUGGUGUGAAAGCUUCGCCGCUCAACGGGAAGCGGUCACUGGAUACUGCGCAACUUGAGUGUGGUAGAGGCAAGCGGAAUUCCUGGUGUAGCGGUGGAAUGUGUAGAUAUCAGGAAGAACAUCGGUGGCGAAGGCGGCUUGCUGGGCCAUUACUGACGCUGAGGGACGAAAGCGUGGGGAGCAAACGGGAUUAGAAACCCCAGUAGUCC
rnacentral:rRNA from 1 species